CCUCGCAUGAAUCGCUAACCUCCCUGUACCCACCUUCACAUUAUCGAUAGAAAAAAACUCCACAUUAUCUCUAACUUCUCCGUCCAAAUAGAACCACGCAGGCAAGCCAAAUACUUUCUCUCCGUGAAUACUGCACCGCUGCCGCCGCCGAAUCUGGCUAGCUCCGGCGCUCUACCACGCCGCCGCCCACCGGACCGGCUACCCCUCACCGCCCUCCUGGGAUACCCUGCCAUGAUGACGUCCUCCGCGCCCCUAGAUGCGGCCAGCAGCAGCCCUAGUGGCCACGGGUCACCACUCACCGGCGCCUCCUCUGGUUUAUCGCCCUAGUACCCCGCGGCACAUCUCCGCACGGACGGCUGCCGGCUCGGCCUUGGCUACCUCGACUCCGACGACGCUGACGGUUCACCAUGGAAGAUUCUUUGCAAGUCAUCGUGGCGACAAUCUGCGGCUGCGCUACCUUGAACACUCAGUCUGAUCCACCGCCGCCGGCGCUAGCUUGCACCAACAUCCACGUCACUUCAGUUCGUAAAUCAUAGAAUGCCUAGCGAUGAUGUGCCACCAUGGCGACAUUGGAGACAUGCAUUGACUACCAGAGACAAGGACCUACUCGACACAUCCUCUGGCCCUCUGUUCAUGCUGCCAAGCAGGAGAGAGGAGUUGUUUGGUCCAACUUGUUUCGGCCUCAGAUCUGCUACGGAAAACUUGUUGAGACCCGUGAGUUACUAUAUUGUAGUGCUUCUGCAAGUUUACUUAAGUUGAAUUAGAGUUUAUUAAUAUUUGCUAGUGUACUCAUGUCGAUGCAGCCGUACAAUCGUGGAAAUUGUUAAUGCAAACUAAUGUACAUAAAAAGCCAACACACGGUACUUCUUGCCACAAGAAAAUAAUCUGUAAUUGAUCCACUUAUUUUUUAUGUUUGGAAGGAUGGAUUCUUUGGGAUAUUGCAAUGAAUUGGUUCUCAAUCAAGAGAGUGUUUUUAUAACGAAUCUGCUAUUUUAGUAUAUUUGGUGAUUGAUUAGUUUUGUGUGUGAUUGAUGAUGCUUAGUGGCUAGUUUAGGAAAUCUAUAUUCAUGAGAGGAAAUUGUGUUCUGGUGUACAAUGACAGUGUUGUCCAACGGACUUGUGUCGGCCUGCAGAAGUUUGGUGGAACGAAAAUGUACACCUAAAUGACAGUGUUGUUCAAGUUUUCUUUUUGGCAGGUUAGUUGAAGUUACCCCUGCAAAAAAAUAGGUUAGUUCAAGUUACACUUCCUUAUUUAAAUGGUUGGACAGAAAAAAAGAACAUUUUAUGUGUGGGUAUCUUAAUUAAAGUUACAAUUACUCAGUGGCAGUAUACAUUUACAUUUUUUUGUGUAUAUUACAGUCUAGAUGCCUUAACGUCACCAUAAUCUUUGACCUUAGGAUAUGAUUUUUCUUUUUGUGCCAUGAAAAAAUAUGUUCGUUACGACAUGCAUGUCUACAAUGCUAGAUAUAUGAUCCUGAUGUAUAGGCUAGCGGCACAUGAAAAGGAAAAAUAAAGGGAAAAAUUUUUAGACGAGUGCCUAACACAAUGGGAUGCCUAGUUCAGAUCUAUGCAUUGUUAAAAUUAACAGUUUUGCUAAAACACAUGUAGAUGAGCCAUAAGUAUUGCACAUCUAAGUCAUAUGUCAUUGAUCUUACAUCGAGAUUCAUGUGGAUAUUUUAUUUUUUCUUUCUUCUUUUUCUCUUUAUGCUUGAUUCACUCACUUAGAUGUACAAUAAGUAGAGCACAUCUAGAUGUGCCCUAGACACACCCAUUAACAUUAAUUAAAUCGAGUCUCUUAUGGUAAAAAGAAACGACAAGGAUUUUUCUUGAUCAUUGAGAUUAAACUGAACUGAUGUGAGCCUUCCCUCAACAAAAGGAUCAACUCUAGAAUAUUUAAGUGUUACAUGCGGUCUUCCAUCUCUAUAUGCUAAACUUUUAUUCUGUUUAUUUCAGUUGUUGGAUUGGCACUUGCCAUUCAAACCCAAUACUAAGCAAUGGACAGGGUGGUGACGAUUAAUCCAGUAACAUUGUCAUGGAAGGUAUUCACAUUAAGUUCAUAGAAAAUAUUAUGAGCCAGCAUGAAUCGUGGGAAGAUUAAGAUGGUAGUGACUAAAUCUUACGCAUGGCCUUCAACCUUUGUAUGUUGCUCCUUUUUUAUUUCUCUUUUGACCUGAUUUUUCUCUCUAAUAAUACUUUAUUCAUUCAUGUCAGUUCUUUGUUGCUGAAGAUUGCCAGGAUGAAUGGAUGAUGCAUGGCUAAGUUGUUGAUUGCAAGGUGGAGAAUGGGGCUGCUACCAUAUAGUUUUACACCAAAGUUGUAGAAUGUAAUUUUCAUGGUCAAUGUAUAGAAAAUCAUGUGUGGAUUCUUUGGAUUGUGUUAAUGUAAUGCAACCCGGUUGAUUUAAUAUAUGAAGUAUUUUUGGUCA